GCCUGGGAUAGCUCAGCGCGCAGAGCACGGGACUUAAAACUCAGGGCCGUGGGUUCAAGUCCCGGUUGGGCA